UAGGGAAUAUUGGACAAUGGGUGAGAGCCUGAUCCAGCCAUGCCGCGUGGAUGAUGAAGGCCCUAGGGUUGUAAAGUCCUUUCGACGGGGAAGAUAAUGACGGUACCCGUAGAAGAAGCCCCGGCUAGCUUCGUGCCAGCAGCCGCGGUAAUACGAAGGGGACUAGCGUUGUUCGGAAUCACUGGGCGUAAAGCGCACGUAGGCGGAUUCGUAAGUCAGGGGUGAAAUCCCGGGGCUCAACCUCGGAACUGCCUUUGAUACUGCGGAUCUCGAGUCCGAUAGAGGUGAGUGGAAUUCCUAGUGUAGAGGUGAAAUUCGUAGAUAUUAGGAAGAACACCGGUGGCGAAGGCGGCUCACUGGAUCGGUACUGACGCUGAGGUGCGAAAGCGUGGGGAGCAAACAGGAUUAGAUACCCGUGUAGUCCCUGAGCGGGCUGGCAAGGCGCAU
rnacentral:rRNA from 1 species